GUGGCAAACCUCCUCUGAACAUCUCUUGCCAAGAAAACCUUAUGAUAGGUUUGCCUUAGGGUCACUGUAAGUUGGAAAUGUCUUGAAUGCACACAGCAGCAACAAGAACAACAACAACAAACUAAUUUGGGGGUGGGAGGAACAGGGAACUGAACGUUAAAAUAUAUCUACACGCUAAAGAAUAUUUGCAACAUUGAAAAUGUAAAUACUUUUCUUUUUUAAAAAAGAACUGUAUUAUUUCUACUCAACCAUAUAAAUUUGGAUGGCAUGUUUCCUUUUUUUGGCCAUUUCAGUUGCAACAUGCAAGUGACAGCUUCUUGGUCCUUACAACAGAUGGCAUCAACUUCAUGGUGAACAGUCAAGAAAUUUGUGACUUUGUUAACCAGUGUCAUGAUCCCACUGAAGCAGCUCAUGUAGUCACCGAGCAGGCCAUACAGUAUGGAACAGAAGAUAAUAGUACUGCUAUUGUUGUGCCAUUUGGAGCAUGGGGCAAGUACAAAAAUUCUGAGAUCAACUUCUCAUUCAGUCGAAGCUUUGCCUCAAGUGGAAGAUGGGCAUGAGGCCUUCUGCAGCAAAGUCCUGGAUGAGCUGUGUUAUAGGGGCUUACCAGACAGAAAGUAGAUCUGUAGAUAGGUCUAUGUAACUGACUUGUCCAUCUCUCUUCCAGCAGCUAGUGAUUUCUGUCUGGAGCGCAAAUGCUGUUAAUUGUAGCCUCUUAACAAACAUGUUUGUUACUGCUUAUUUCAAGCGAAUAAUUUGCAUUUCCUCCUAGGGCCUAAAUGGUGUCUUUUGAUACCUGCCUGGCAUUUUUAUAUGGAUUGCAUACCAAAUGUUUCACUUAACACUUGGUACAUUAUUAGGAGCUGAGAGCAUAUGGCAGAAGUAAACAGGGCCUCAGUAUUCAUAGUAUUGCAAAGAGAAGCAAAUGCAUAAGGAGAAGAAAAGUGGCAUUUUUCUCUUCCUUGCCAUCAGAAGUAUUUCUUUCCUUGCUUAAAAAGAAGCAGAAGAACCAACAACUGGGAGAUUAAAAGGCUGCAUCAGUGGCCUUACUUUGGUCUGCAACCCAACUCUGAAGAGAAGUAUCUUCAUCUCUGGGCUGAUAAGACUCCAUACUACAGUCAAAUGACAAAAAUUGUCAGUUUUUUGUAUACUGCUUUUAUGUUCCUUUUUUCAGAAAGUGAAUUUUACACUGAGUUUGAAGGUCAAAUUCUGCUACUUUGCUUUUGGAACCUUUGGCUUGUGUAUAGCUGGGUGUUACAGCACCUCAGACAGCUAUAUGCACAACACUAAUAAGGGGGACCAGGUAGUGUGCCUUCAGAAAGAAGAAUACUAUGUAAAUUAUUUGUGUUGAUUUAGCCUUCCUGAAACAUGCUGAUAUUACAAGAUACUACCCUUUAAAAACAUGCUAUAAACUUAAAAUAAAUUUUUGUUCAGUUCA